CCUACGGGUGGCAGCAGUGGGGAAUAUUGCACAAUGGGGGAAACCCUGAUGCAGCGACGCAGCGUGAGUGAAGAAGUAUCUCGGUACGUAAAGCUCUAUCAGCAGGGAAGAAAAUGACGGUACCUGACUAAGAAGCCACGGCUAACUACGUGCCAGCAGCCGCGGUAAUACGGAGGGUGCAAGCGUUAUCCGGAUUUACUGGGUGUAAAGGGAGCGUAGACGGCAGCGCAAGUCUGGAGUGAAAUGUCGGGGCCCAACCCCGGAACUGCUUUUGAUACUGUGUAUCUCGAGUGCAGGAGAGGUAAGCGGAAUUCGUAGUGUAGCAGUGAAAUGCGUAGAUAUUAGGAGGAACACCAGUGGCGAAGGCGGCUUACUGGACUGUAACUGACGUUGAGGCUCGAAAGCGUGGGGAGCAAACAGGAUUAGAUACCCGGGUAGUC
rnacentral:rRNA from 1 species